CUGCCCUAAGAGCAUGGGAGAAGUGGAGAAUCCAGACUCUGGAGAUGCAGAUAUAUACAUCUGCAGAACCUCAGGAAAACCUGUUUCUUUCUUCCUAGCCCUAAACCAGUGGCCAAAAAAAUCACAGAAAACUCUGGACUACAGCCACCAAUCUUUGCCAGAUACUCCUUUAGGGAGGGCCACAUUACAUGGAUGAAAUUAUGUCACAGCAGGAUGAAAAAGCUGAUCCUAUCUACCCACCUUAGGACACACCUGACUGCUCCAUGGGUGUGAAUGGAUGAGCAUGUGUACCUCCUAAAUACAAAAGCACCAGUGAAACAACAAGUGUGCUCCAGCAGGACAGAAAUAUCUGUUACUGCAUUGCCAAGGUGCUUCAGCUCAGCUGUGGGAGCCUAGUUCUUCACUACAGGGUGAUGUAACUAACUCCAGUGACAAUGCCAACUGUGUCAUGAUCAUGGAGGUUUGCCAAAACAUCUGUAUCCAUGCAAGAGGCUUGUGCUGGAGUGGUCUGGCAGUUGAGGCUUGGCCAUCCUUACAUAGCCCUGCCAAGACAAAUCUGUGACAAGGAUCUGGUCAGCACCUAUACACUGUUUAACUGAACUUGACUUACUGACUGAAAUGCCUAGAGGACCACUUCCAGGGACAGGUCACAGGGGCAGCAGCUGGCAGCUGUGGGUGGUCACCUCUUCAGCCAUCUCAGAAGCAGCUGGAAGUGUAUUUGUCAAUGCAAUCUGUGUUUAUGGAAAGAGGUUAAAAAAUUCUUCUUUAUUAAAAUGUAAUUUAAUUUCAUCCAUUAAAG